rnacentral:rRNA from 1 species
GACGAACGCUGGCGGCGUGCUUAACACAUGCAAGUCGAACGGAAAGGCCCUGCUUUUGUGGGGGGCUCGAGUGCGAACGGGUGAGUACCACGUGAGUAACCUGCCCUUGACUUUGGGUUAACUUCAGGAAACUGGGGCUAAUACCGGAUAGGAGCUCCUGCGGCAUGGUGGGGGUUGGAAAGUUUCGGCGGUUGGGGAUGGACUCGCGGCUUAUCAGCUUGUUGGUGGGGUAGUGGCUUACCAAGGCUUUGACGGGUAGCCGGCCUGAGAGGGUGACCGGCCACAUUGGGACUGAGAUACGGCCCAGACUCCUACGGGAGGCAGCAGUGGGGAAUAUUGCACAAUGGGCGGAAGCCUGAUGCAGCAACGCCGCGUGCGGGAUGACGGCCUUCGGGUUGUAAACCGCUUUCGCCUGUGACGAAGCGUGAGUGACGGUAAUGGGUAAAGAAGCACCGGCUAACUACGUG